AUUGAACGCUGGCGGCAGGCCUAACACAUGCAAGUCGAACGAGUGGCGGACGGGUGAGUAAUGUCUGGGAAACUGCCUGAUGGAGGGGGAUAACUACUGGAAACGGACGCUAAACACGCAUACCAUGAGAAAUGCCCAGAUGGGAUUAGCGUGUUGGUGGGGUAACGGCUCACCAAGGCGACGCUCCAUAGCUGGUCUGAGAGGAUGAACAGCAACACUGGAACUGAGACACGGUCCAGACUCCUACGGGAGGCAGCAGUGGGGAAUAUUGCACAAUGGGCGCAAGCCUGAUGCAGCCAUGCCGCGUGUAUGAAGAAGGCCUUCGGGUUGUAAAGUACUUUCAGCGGGGAGGCGUUACCCGCAGAAGAAGCACCGGCUAACUCCGUGCCAGCAGCCGCGGUAAUAC
rnacentral:rRNA from 1 species